rnacentral:lncRNA from 1 species
CAUUUCUCAACCCACAAAUGUAAACUAUAGUAUGCGAAAGAUUUCCUAUCAUUGAACCCAUGUAACACCCCUUUUCAUGUUCACUAGAAUGUGCCCCUCGGAUCUUUCUUGCAUCAAUAUGUCAUAUUUGCAUCUCAAUUCCUCAUAAGCAAAAGCAUCCGAAUCAACUCAACCACUGAACCUCUCAAUCUACAAGAAAAAAAAUCAGUUACGACUACAUUAAGUAUAUCGUGAAGUUAAUUUAACAAAACCCAAGAAGUUAAAUAUUGAGUUAUACAUGAUGAAGGCCAAGCAAUUGUUAAUCCAGAGGUGAAAGCAUCGCCAAUUGUCCUACAAUUUUCCCUUUCCCUUACCAAGACCUGACAUUCCUCAAUAGGUGAUCAACUUGCACUUCUAUGAACUGCCGACCUAGCUCAAUACCACCAACCAUUUUUUUUAAUUGCAACCCAAAAUGCUAGCAUGUGCUACAUGCCUUUUGUUUGGAUAUACUGAAGACUUCAGAAUCACUUUUGUGCCAACCUGAAAUGAGGUUCAAAUUAUAAUAUAUAGUAAUAAAAACCAAUUUUGUGAACACGAAUCUAGUAUUAACACACUAUUUUUGUUACCUCCAUGGAAGGAGUGCGUUUCUGCUUAGAGGGCACAUGGACUACAGACUUGUCUUGAGUGCUUUGUUUGUGUACUCUUGGCAAAUUUCCAUCCAUAGUCUUCCUGCUCUUUCUCAUCUACAGAUAAACAUAAGAGGAAAAAUAAUUUAUCCUUGUGAUUUUGCAAUGCAAAGUUCACACCACAUUUUAUUCAUCAAAUAUUACGUGUGGCAACAUCAUUUUAUAACCUCAGGAGAGUCCAUUCCAUGCAAAUCAAACAUAAAAUGCAGAAACUCAUUCAUUCAACAUUAUACAGACAAAUAUGAGUCAGUAGGAUGAAUAUUGGAUUGCACUUGAAUGAAAAAUCUCUAGUACAACAUGAUAUUUUAACUAAAUGUGCGUGAAUAACAAAUCACGCCAUCAAUAAUUCAUAUGGAAAAUGUUUUCGAUUACUUACUAGGAAGCAGAUUUCUUAAGAGAUAACCAUUACCUCUCCAUCAAAAACAGGAUCGAAAACAGGAUGGGCUGGUGAUGAUGGUGCUUGAUAUGACAAUUUAUUGCAGCCCUCAUUUUCAAGAUGAUGCUUCU